UACGGCGGGUGCAAGCGUUAUUCGGAAUCAUUGGGCGUAAAGGGCGCGUAGGCGGUCUCUUAUGUCAGAUGUGAAAGCCCUUGGCUCAACCGAGGAAGUGCAUUUGAAACUGAGAGACUUGAGUAUGGGAGAGGGAAGCGGAAUUCCUGGUGUAGCGGUGAAAUGCGUAGAUAUCAGGAGGAACACAGGUGGCGAAGGCGGCUUCCUGGACCAAUACUGACGCUGAGGCGCGAAGGCGUGGGGAGCAAACAGG
rnacentral:rRNA from 1 species